rnacentral:rRNA from 1 species
CAGUCGCCACGGUAAUACGGAGGAUCCAAGCGUUAUCCGGAAUCAUUGGGUUUAAAGGGUCCGUAGGCGGUUUAGUAAGUCAGUGGUGAAAGCCCAUCGCUCAACGGUGGAACGGCCAUUGAUACUGCUGAACUUGAAUUAUUAGGAAGUAACUAGAAUAUGUAGUGUAGCGGUGAAAUGCUUAGAGAUUACAUGGAAUACCAAUUGCGAAGGCAGGUUACUACUAAUUGAUUGACGCUGAUGGACGAAAGCGUGGGGAGCGAACAGGAUUAGAUACCCCUGUAGUCCCUGUCUCUUAUAC